CCCUUGCUGGUCUGGUGGCUAGGAUUCCUGGUUCUUACCCAGGAUACCCAGGUUCAAUUCCUGGGCAGAGAA
rnacentral:tRNA from 1 species